AGCAGCCGCGGUAAUUCCAGCUCCAAUAGCGUAUAUUAAAGUUGUUGCAGUUAAAAAGCUCGUAGUUGAAUUUCGGGGUCAGCAAGUUGGUCGUGCCACUGGUAUGUACUGGCUUUGCUGAUUCCUCCUUCUUGUAGAACCGUAAUGCCAUUAAGUUGGUGUUGCGGGAAAACAGGACUGUUACUUUGAAAAAAUUAGAGUGUUUAAAGCAGGCUAACGCUUGAAUACAUUAGCAUGGAAUAAUGAAAUAGGACGACGAUCCUAUUUUGUUGGUUUCUAGGAUUGACGUAAUGAUUAAUAGGGAUAGUUGGGGGCAUUAGUAUUCAAUUGUCAGAGGUGAAAUUCUUGGAUUUAUUGAAGACUAACUACUGCGAAAGCAUUUGCCAAGGAUGUUUUCAUUAAUCAAGAACGAAAGUUAGGGGAUCGAAGACGAUCAGAUACCGUCGUAGUCUUAACCAUAAACUAUGCCGACUAGGGAUCGGAUGAUGUUAAUUUUUUAAUGACUCA
rnacentral:rRNA from 1 species